ensembl:snRNA U6 U6 spliceosomal RNA
GUGCUUACUUUAGCAGCACAUAGUAAAACUGGAAUGAUACAGAGAAGAUUAGCAUUGCCCCUGCUCAAGGAUGACACACAAAUUCAUGAAGUGGUCCAUAUUAAA